GACACGUAGGAUACGAAUUACUUGUAAUCUAAAAUUGAGCGAAGAUGGUGGACAAGAGUAGCAACGCAGAAGCUGCUCACCUCUGGAAGGCGUUGAGCGAAGAUGAAAUCAAAGUAAAUUGCAGUUGGUUCCGUGUCCUCCACUUCCAAAUCAGUCGCUCUUUUCAGAGGCUGAUUGAAGUGAUUGACGAAUUAGAUUUGGAAACUAUGCUGUCGACCACGCCGAGAAGCUGAGUAACAUUUGAAGGUUCAUGUUUACGUAGCAGUGGUGUUGCUGUCCAAUGUGGUGUGUUGUUGCAGCCUAUGGUGGUGAAAGAUACCUGCAUCAAGUUGCUGUUCCUUGUGCAUAUAAAGUGCUGGUUUUGUGCUACAGAAGUGACAUCCAAUAUUGUGUUUAAUUGCUAUUUGUGUCUUUGCAGUUUAACUUUAUAUAUUGAGAAGGAACAAAAAAAAUAGCAAUACGGGGAGGUGUAUGUCAAACAAAUAAUAAACAUGUCCAGGAUGGGGGAAUGAGGAGGAAGUUGGGGUGGGGUAUUUGGUCAUGAUUUACUAAAAGAAGUGAGGUAUAUUUUUAACGAAUAUACAAUACUUGGUGAUAAAAUCUGUUGUUAACCUAUACCUUCCUGUCAACCUAUACCUUCCCCACUUCCACUUGCACAUCCAUUUCAGCAUUUCUCAAACCCCAUAACCACCAACAUCAAAUCCCACUUCGAUUCCUAAAACCCCAUAAUCUCCAACAUCAAAUUCACAUGAUUGCAAUA